UUUYYUAGGGAGAAUUUGGCCUUCCAACAAGGGGAGGCCAGGAAAUUUCCUU
rfam:HIV-1 isolate CH12 from Chile, complete genome.